rnacentral:rRNA from 1 species
CAAGACCUUGCGCUUUUGGAGCGGCCGAUGUCUGAUUAGCUAGUUGGUGAGGUAAAGGCUUACCAAGGCGUCGAUCAGUAGCUGGUCUGAGAGNANGACCAGCCACACUGGGACUGAGACACGGCCCAGACUCNUACGGGAGGCAGCAGUGGGNAAUUUUGGACAAUGGGGNAAACCCUGAUCCAGCCAUNCCGCGUGAGUGAAGAAGGCCNUCGGGUUGUAAAGCUCUUUCAGCCGGAANGANACGGUCNCGGUUAAUACCCGUGANUANUGNCGGUNCCGGAAGAANAAGCACCGGCUAANUACGUGCCAGCAGCCGCGGUAAUANGUAGGGUGCAAGCGUUAAUCGGAAUUANUGGGCGUAAAGCGUGCGCAGUCGGUUUUGUAAGUCANAUGUGAAAUCCCNGGGCUUAACCUGGGAAUU